AGCGGAGUAGUCCAAUGGAAGAGACACUGGUCUCAUAAGCCAGUAUAGUGUGAGUUCAAGUCUCACCUCCGCUUCCA
rnacentral:tRNA from 1 species